rnacentral:rRNA from 1 species
UUCAAGUGAAGAGUUUGAUCCUGGCUCAGAUUGAACGCUGGCGGCGUGCCUAACACAUGCAAGUCGAGCGGUAACAGGUGUAGCAAUACAUGCUGACGAGCGGCGAACGGGUGAGUAAUGCUUCGGA